CGUGCUCUUGCCAUGCCUGAGCUACAGGUCAGUCUGGAGCCCUCCCCUAAGCGUGCUCUUGCCAUGCCUGAGCUGGGACUGAAGAGUAAGUGGUCCUCAUCUCCGCUUCCCGGUGUGCCUCAGCGUGUGGUUGAACCCAUGCAGAUGAGACCUGGCCGUGGCGGAGAAGUGAGCAAGAGCCUUAAACAGUGCAUUGGUCAUUGUCUUACACAUGAAGCAGCAGAGGCCCAGGCUAAAGACCGCAUACUCCCUAGCUCCCUACCCAAAGUUGAGGGUUUCCCAGCAGCCAUAGGCAUCUGCUGGUCUUACCAACAGAGAUGCUUGUAAGGUGUGUGUGACAGCUCAAGGUGUGGCCCAGGCUCUCUCUCUUGGGGUUGGAGUUCUUAGUGACUUGAGUGGAGACACCAUCUAUGCGUAUCCACAGUACUGACACCCUCUCCUUGCUGUCCCAGCCACUCAGUCCUCAGUAUGUUUGCCCCUUUACCAAGCCCUUCCCCCAGGCUGCCUUGAUACAUACUUUAAUAAAACCGCACAUAAAUGAA
rnacentral:lncRNA from 1 species